UGUCACCUACGGGGGGCAGCAGUGAGGAAUAUCGGUCAAUGGCCGAGAGGCUGAACCAGCCACGUCGCGUGAGGGAAGACGGCCCUAUGGGUUGUAAACCUCUUUUGUCGGAGAACAAAACCCGGGACGUGUCCCGGACUGCGUGUAUCCGAAGAAAAAGCAUCGGCUAACUCCGUGCCAGCAGCCGCGGUAAUACGGAGGAUGCGAGCGUUAUCCGGAUUUAUUGGGUUUAAAGGGUGCGCAGGCGGGAGAUCAAGU
rnacentral:rRNA from 1 species